rnacentral:tRNA from 1 species
GGAUGAAUAGCUCAACGGCAGAGCAGUGCCUUGUUAAGGCAAAGGUUGAACGUUCGAAUCGUUCUUCAUCCG